UACGGGGGAGCAAGCGUUGUUCGGAUUUACUGGGCGUAAAGGGCGCGUAGGCGGCCACCGCAAGUCGGUUGUGAAAUCUCUGGGCUUAACCCAGAAAGGUCAACCGAUACUGCGGGCUAGAGUGCAGAAGGGGCAACUGGAAUUCUCGGUGUAGCGGUGAAAUGCGUAGAUAUCGAGAGGAACACCUGCGGCGAAGGCGGGUUGCUGGGCUGACACUGACGCUGAAGCGCGAAAGCUAGGGGAGCGAACGGG
rnacentral:rRNA from 1 species